UACAGAGGUCUCAAGCGUUGUUCGGAAUUACUGGGUGUAAAGGGUUCGUAGGCGGUGCGGCAAGUUGGGAGUGAAAUCUCUGGGCUUAACCCAGAGGCUGCUUCCGAAACUGCUGUGCUUGAGUGUGGGAGAGGCGCGUGGAAUUGCAGGUGUAGCGGUGAAAUGCGUAGAUAUCUGCAGGAACACCCGUGGCGAAAGCGGCGCGCUGGACCACUACUGACGCUGAGGAACGAAAGCUAGGGGAGCAAACAGG
rnacentral:rRNA from 1 species